rnacentral:rRNA from 1 species
UAGGGAAUCUUCCACAAUGGACGCAAGUCUGAUGGAGCAACGCCGCGUGAGUGAAGAAGGUCUUCGGAUCGUAAAGCUCUGUUGUUGGUGAAGAAGGAUAGAGGCAGUAACUGGUCUUUAUUUGACGGUAAUCAACCAGAAAGUCACGGCUAACUACGUGCCAGCAGCCGCGGUAAUACGUAGGUGGCAAGCGUUGUCCGGAUUUAUUGGGCGUAAAGCGAGCGCAGGCGGAAUGAUAAGUCUGAUGUGAAAGCCCACGGCUCAACCGUGGAACUGCAUCGGAAACUGUCAUUCUUGAGUGCAGAAGAGGAGAGUGGAACUCCAUGUGUAGCGGUGGAAUGCGUAGAUAUAUGGAAGAACACCAGUGGCGAAGGCGGCUCUCUGGUCUGCAACUGACGCUGAGGCUCGAAAGCAUGGGUAGCGAACAGGAUUAGAUACCCUGGUAGUCCAUGCCGUAAACGAUGAGCGCUAGGUGUUGGGGGACUUU